UACAGUUCUACAGCUCCAGGUUUCACUUUUCAGAUUCCCUUGCAGCGAAGCAGGUAUGAGUGGAAGUGGUAGAUGCCCCUGUCCGGGAGGGGGAAAUUUCCCCCUUAUUCCUCUUGAGUUCUUGUGGCUGGCCUCAUAGUAAAAUUAACACAAGACAGAUUAAAGAGAAAACUCGAAUGUAAUGCGUACACGUGGGAGAUCAUAAAAUUAACGCUCAGAAGUGACCAAAGCAGGCAGCUUUUAUACUUUUUACACACAGAAACACUAAAUUUGUGAGGAUUUGACAGGACAAAGAUACUUAGGUUUGGGUGCUUCAUUAGUAAGCAAUCUAAGCAGAGUUUGGACUUAUGGUGGUAAAUUAGUAAAAAAGUAACAAGGUGUGUUUAUACAGGCCUCUCCGCCUUGAAUUCCACCCCCUCCCAGCCCCACCCUUUUUGCUUGAGGAAGAUUGUUCCUGAGCUAUCAUCUGUGCCAACCUUCCUCUGUUUUAUGUGGGAUGACGCUACAGUGUGGCUUGAUGAGCGGUGCUAGGUCCGCCCCGGGAUCCGGACCUGCAAACCCUGGGCCGCCGAAGCAGAGCACGCCAACUUAACCCUUAUGCCAUUGGGUCAGCCUCGUGAGGAAGCUGUUUUUCACAUGGGAGAUUCGUUUGCUGCUUUCAGGGGGAAAUGGAAAGGGUCAAAAUGCAAUUUUUGCAUCAGCUGCUUCUCAAAUAACUAAGUCAAAAUAAUCAGUGUGCCAUUGUAGCAUACUUUGGGGGCGGUCUGCCCUGGGUCCCAGCACUGCUUUUGAGUCAAGAUUGCAAGACUACUGUUAGUUAUGUCUGACCAGAUGCUGAAAGUCAAAGGUCAGCAGAUGGAAGCAGAGCUGGUUGGGACAUGGAGAAGAAUUGUCUCAGAGCACGUCUCGAUGAUAUUUUACCAAGAGUCUGCUGCUUCCAGGCUUGCUUUCUUCAGUCAGCUGAAUGCAGGGAACGAGGAAGCUCCAGGGCAGAGCUGCAAGAUGGAAGGAGCCAGGAUCCCUGAGUCGGCCUGGAACAGACCGCCUGCUGACCAGGAACACCUGCCGUGGAAGUUUACCAGAGCGAGAGAGAGACUUCUGUUGUGCUUUGGCCAGUUGUCAGUGCACUUUUUAUACCAGUAUGGUAUUAGGGC
rnacentral:lncRNA from 1 species